AUAUCAAUGCUAAUGAAAUCACCUAUAUCCGGAUGAAAGGAGGAAGGAAAUCACAUGUUGCCAUCAAUGAAUUCAGAGCGCAGAAUAGCAGUCCCAAAAGAACUCAUAGACAACAA